AGCCUUUGACAUGUCCCGUAUGGAUCCCAUCUCUGGAACCCAUACGGGACAUGUCAAGGGCUGGUAAGGUUCUGCGCGUUGCUUCGAAUUGAACCACAUGCUCCACCGCUUGUGCGGGCCCCCGUCAAUUCCUUUGAGUUUUAAUCUUGCGACCGUACUCCCCAGGCGGGAUGCUUAAAGCGUUAGCUGCGCCACUGACCGGUAAACCGGCCAACGGCUAGCAUCCAUCGUUUACGGCGUGGACUAC
rnacentral:misc_RNA from 1 species